rnacentral:lncRNA from 1 species
GGUGGUGAGCCCUCGGAUAAGGGCAAAGGUAUUGCACCCGAGGAUCAAGAAUAAGAGUGUUGUAAAUUCCCGUCAAAGUGAGUAACCACUAUUCAUCUUAUCUAUCUAAAGUAUUUUUACAAUCGUUUUUAUGAUUUUAAGAAUAUUGAACCUAAAUGAAUUUUAUGUUCUAUGAUUAGUAAUCGAUUUAAGGAAUAAGGUUUAUGAAUUAUUUUACAAUUCAAUCAUGUUUUUGAAAAUGAGAGUAUGUGGAGACCAACCUUUGAUGUUGCCUAUAUAUUUAAGUUUACGUACCAAUGUUUGGAAUUGAUGAUUUAUGAACUGAUACGUGAAAACAUAUGUGGCUGGGUUUUUGAGUUGUGAAAUAUAUAAACUGUUGUUUUCCUUUGACAGGCUGGGUAAUAUUAUGUUAGCCACGUUAUGCUGUCAAAAUUUUAUUGAUUGGUGGGUUAUUUAAUUAGCCACUGCAGUAGGCGAGUUUCCAUGGACCAGCCUAUUAGAGGGGCACGAUAAAC